GACGAAUGCGGGCGGCGUGCCUAAUACAUGCAAGUUGAGCGAUGAAGAUUGGUGCUUGCACCAAUUUGAAGAGCAGCGAUCGGGUGAGUAACGCGUGGGGAAUCUGCCUUUGAGCGGGGGACAACAUUUGGAAACGCAUGCUAAUACCGCAUAACAACUUUAAACAUAAGCUUUAAGUUUGAAAGAUGCAAUUGCAUCACUCAAAGAUGACUCCGCGUUGUAUUAGCUAGUUGGGGAGGUAAAGGCUCACAAAGGCGAUGAUACAUAGCCGACCUGAGAGGGUGAUCGGCCACAGUGGGACUGAGACACGGCCCAAACUCCUACGGGAGGCAGCAGUAGGGAAUCUUCGGCAAUGGACGAAAGUCUGACCGAGCAACGCCGCGUGAGUGAAGAAGGUUUUCGGAUCGUAAAACUCUGUUGGUAGAGAAGAACGUUGGUGAGAGUGGAAAGCUCAUCAAGUGACGGUAACUACCCAGAAAGGGACGGCUAACUACGUGCCAGCCGCCGCCGUAA
rnacentral:rRNA from 1 species